rnacentral:rRNA from 1 species
UACGAAGGGGGCUAGCGUUGCUCGGAAUUACUGGGCGUAAAGGGCGCGUAGGCGGCACUGUAAGACAGUUGUGAAAUCCCCGGGCUCAACCUGGGAACUGCAUCUGUGACUGCAUAGCUAGAGUACGGUAGAGGGGGAUGGAAUUCCGCGUGUAGCAGUGAAAUGCGUAGAUAUGCGGAGGAACACCGAUGGCGAAGGCAAUCCCCUGGACCUGUACUGACGCUCAUGCACGAAAGCGUGGGGAGCAAACAGG